AUACGGAGGGAGCAAGCGUUAUUCGGAAUCACUGGGCGUAAAGGACGCGUAGGCGGGUUUGUAAGUCAGGUGUGAAAUCCUACAGCUCAACUGUAGAACUGCACUUGAAACUACAGACCUAGAGUAUGGAAGGGGCAGAUGGAAUUAGUGGUGUAGGGGUAAAGUCCGUAGAUAUCACUAGGAAUACCGAAAGCGAAGGCGACCUGCUGGGACAUUACUGACGCUGAGGCGUGAAAGCGUGGGGAGCAAACAGGAUUAGAUACCCCAGUAGUCC
rnacentral:rRNA from 1 species